AAAAAUGUAGUUAAUUUAAGAUAUUCAAUUUCGACUUGGAAGAAGAUAAAUAUUUGUCCAUUUUUA
rnacentral:tRNA from 1 species